AAGAUGGCCUAUGCCCUCGGGCAUGCUGUCACCUUAAGAAGGGCCCGCGUCCUAUCAGGUUGUUGGUAGGGUAAUGGCCUACCAAGCCAAAGACGGGUAGCUGGCGCGAGAGCGUGACCAGCCACAUCGGGACUGAGACACUGCCCGGACUCCUACGGGAGGCUGCAGUCGAGAAUCUUUCCCAAUGGACGAAAGUCUGAGGAUGCGACGCCGCGUGGAGGAUGAAGGCCUUCGGGUUGUAAACCCAUUUUAUUAAGGAGGAACGUUAUUAGGUUAAUAGCCUUUUAACUUGACUGUACUUAAUGAAUAAGCCACGGCUAACUCCGUGCCAGCAGCCGCGGUAAUACGGGGGUGGCAAGCGUUACUCGGUUUGACUGGGUGUAAAGGGUCCGCAGGCGGCCUUACAAGUGAAAGGUGAAAUCUUUCGGCUCAACCGAAAAAUUGCCUUUCAAACUGUAAGGCUUGAGGAUGGAAGAGGAGAGUGGAACUGCCGGUGUAAAGGUGAAAUUUGUGGAUAUCGGCAGGAACGCCAGUGGAGAAGUCGGCUCUCUGGUCCAUAUCUGACGCUCAGGGACGAAAGCUAGGGGAGCCAACAGGAUUAGAUACCCUGGUAGUCCUAGCUGUAAACGAUGGGCACUAGGUGUU
rnacentral:rRNA from 1 species